GAAUAGUGCCACGGUUUUGUUGUACACCCGAGUCGUGAGGUAACCGUGAGGGCCAGCCGCCUAAGGUGGGAUAGAUGAUUGGGGUGAAGUCGUAACAAGGUAGCCGUAUCGGAAGGUGCGGCUGGAUCACCUCCUUUCUAAGGAUAAGGAACUGCGCAUUGGUCUUGUUUAGUCUUGAGAGGUCUUGUGGGGCCUUAGCUCAGCUGGGAGAGCGCCUGCUUUGCACGCAGGAGGUCAGCGGUUCGAUCCCGCUAGGCUCCAUUGGUGAGAGAUCACCAAGUAAUGCACAUUGAAAAUUGAAUAUCUAUAUCAAAUAGUAACAAGAAAAUAAACCGAAAACGCUGUAGUAUUAAUAAGAGUUUAUGACUGAAAGGUCAGAAAAUAAGGUUAAGUUAAUAAGGGCGCACGGUGGAUGCCUUGGCACUAGGAGCCGAUGAAGGACGUGACAAACGACGAUAUGCCUUGGGUAGCUGUAAGUAAGCGAUGAUCCAGGGAUUUCCGAACGGGGAAAACCAAAAGGUCUGGGAAGUUUUCCCACGCCGGGGGAGUGGUGUGUGUUCGUACCUUUUCUCCUUACCUGACACACGCGUGCCUAUAUAUAAAUUAACCCUUAUAUUUUCGGACCUCGUAGAGAAAUUAUAUAGGGGUGGAGGGGGGGGUGGUUGGUUCUGU
rnacentral:misc_RNA from 1 species